AACCCCUGGCUGGGCAGAGACCUCUUAUUGGUAGUAUUGUUCUUGUAUCAGUCAGGAGCAGAGCAGACCGCAGUCCUUAUUCAUCCUAGCUUGAUACCUGAGUUAGUGAUCAAAACUAUCUUAUGCCUAGGACACAUAA
ensembl:snoRNA LOC120096393 small nucleolar RNA SNORA48